UCUGUCCGUUCAGCGUGAUUUAUUGUUGUUCUUUUUCUUACAGAACCGAAUAAAAGGACAAUGCUUGUUUUGUGAUUUUAUAGCAUUGUUAAAAUGAAGAACAGAACUGCAUUCUUAGUAUUAAUUGUGUUUUUAAGCUGCUCUAAAACCUUUGGGCAGAGUCAACCAACACCGCGAGGGGAUUGCCCAGGCGGUUAUUUUCAGGUGAGCAGAACGGCAUGUUUCCGCCAUUCUCAGUGCCCAGAUCGCUCAUUUUGUUGGUUUACACCAACUAGAACUCAUGGGAUAUGUUGCCCUUAUUUUUGGUUGUACUAAGAAGAUAUACACAAGUAAAGAAAGCGAAACAUCACUGACAAUUGAUUUUACAACUUUGUCUGAUAAGGAAUAAAAUUUAUGAU